AUGAACGCUAGCUACAGGCUUAACACAUGCAAGUCGAGGGGCAGCAUGGUCUUAGCUUGCUAAGGCCGAUGGCGACCGGCGCACGGGUGAGUAACACGUAUCCAACCUGCCGUCUACUCUUGGACAGCCUUCUGAAAGGAAGAUUAAUACAAGAUGGCAUCAUGAGUCCGCAUGUUCACAUGAUUAAAGGUAUUCCGGUAGACGAUGGGGAUGCGUUCCAUUAGAUAGUAGGCGGGGUAACGGCCCACCUAGUCUUCGAUGGAUAGGGGUUCUGAGAGGAAGGUCCCCCACAUUGGAACUGAGACACGGUCCAAACUCCUACGGGAGGCAGCAGUGAGGAAUAUUGGUCAAUGGGCGAGAGCCUGAACCAGCCAAGUAGCGUGAAGGAUGACUGCCCUAUGGGUUGUAAACUUCUUUUAUAAAGGAAUAAAGUCGGGUAUGGAUACCCGUUUGCAUGUACUUUAUGAAUAAGGAUCGGCUAACUCCGUGCCAGCAGCCGCGGUAAUACGGAGGAUCCGAGCGUUAUCCGGAUUUAUUGGGUUUAAAGGGAGCGUAGAUGGAUGUUUAAGUCAGUUGUGAAAGUUUGCGGCUCAACCGUAAAAUUGCAGUUGAUACUGGAUAUCUUGAGUGCAGUUGAGGCAGGCGGAAUUCGUGGUGUAGCGGUGAAAUGCUUAGAUAUCACGAAGAACUCCGAUUGCGAAGGCAGCCUGCUAAGCUGCAACUGACAUUGAGGCUCGAAAGUGUGGGUAUCAAACAGGAUUAGAUACCCUGGUAGUCCACACGGUAAACGAUGAAUACUCGCUGUUUGCGAUAUACGGCAAGCGGCCAAGCGAAAGCGUUAAGUAUUCCACCUGGGGAGUACGCCGGCAACGGUGAAACUCAAAGGAAUUGACGGGGGCCCGCACAAGCGGAGGAACAUGUGGUUUAAUUCGAUGAUACGCGAGGAACCUUACCCGGGCUUAAAUUGCAGAUGAAUUACGGUGAAAGCCGUAAGCCGCAAGGCAUCUGUGAAGGUGUUGCAUGGUUGUCGUCAGCUCGUGCCGUGAGGUGUCGGCUUAAGUGCCAUAACGAGCGCAACCCUUGUUGUCAGUUACUAACAGGUUCUGCUGAGGACUCUGACAAGACUGCCAUCGUAAGAUGUGAGGAAGGUGGGGAUGACGUCAAAUCAGCACGGCCCUUACGUCCGGGGCUACACACGUGUUACAAUGGGGGGUACAGAGGGCCGCUACCACGCGAGUGGAUGCCAAUCCCAAAAACCUCUCUCAGUUCGGACUGGAGUCUGCAACCCGACUCCACGAAGCUGGAUUCGCUAGUAAUCGCGCAUCAGCCACGGCGCGGUGAAUACGUUCCCGGGCCUUGUACACACCGCCCGUCAAGCCAUGGGAGCCGGGGGUACCUGAAGUGCGUAACCGCGAGGAGCGCCCUAGGGUAAAACUGGUGACUGGGGCU
rnacentral:rRNA from 1 species